CCCGUCGUUGCUCCCGUGGUCCACGGACCAUUUCCCGAAUUUUCCCCACUCGCGAACCCUAACUUCGACCAGCCUCCCCCCUCCAGAUCCCCUCCCCUCCUUUCGCCAGGAGCAGAACCCACCCGCUCGGACCGCGCCGCGUAAUCGCCAUGGCGGAUGAGGAACCCGUUGAUCCCAAGAAGUAUCUCGAGGAGCGGUGCAAGCCACAGUGUGUAAAGCCACUGUAUGAGUAUGAGAAAUGUAUCAAGAGAGUUGAGGCUGAUGAUACCGGGCACAAGCACUGCACUGGGCAAUAUUUUGACUAUUGGUCAUGCAUCGAUAAAUGUGUAGCACCAAAGCUCUUUGAAAAGCUGAAAUGAUAUUGGGGCGCUACUUUCAGUGAGUGAGCCUGGUCAUUGACCAGAAGUCCAGAACCCAUUCUGGUACUGAUCAUUUUUCUCAUUGAGAUCAUAUCCAACGCAAAUUGAGAAGAUUUCAACAACACAUAGCUAAGAACUGUGCACGCACCAUGUUAUGACCCAUGAAUUGGAGGUGAUUUCUGGUUAUAAAAAACAUUUGAG
rnacentral:rRNA from 1 species